rnacentral:rRNA from 1 species
GAUGAACGCUGGCGGCGUGCCUAAUACAUGCAAGUCGAGCGAACAGACGAGGAGCUUGCUCCUCUGACGUUAGCGGCGGACGGGUGAGUAACACGUGGAUAACCUACCUAUAAGACUGGGAUAACUUCGGGAAACCGGAGCUAAUACCGGAUAAUAUAUUGAACCGCAUGGUUCAAUAGUGAAAGACGGUUUUGCUGUCACUUAUAGAUGGAUCCGCGCCGCAUUAGCUAGUUGGUAAGGUAACGGCUUACCAAGGCAACGAUGCGUAGCCGACCUGAGAGGGUGAUCGGCCACACUGGAACUGAGACACGGUCCAGACUCCUACGGGAGGCAGCAGUAGGGAAUCUUCCGCAAUGGGCGAAAGCCUGACGGAGCAACGCCGCGUGAGUGAUGAAGGUCUUAGGAUCGUAAAACUCUGUUAUUAGGGAAGAACAAAUGUGUAAGUAACUAUGCACGUCUUGACGGUACCUAAUCAGAAAGCCACGGCUAACUACGUG